rnacentral:rRNA from 1 species
UACGUAGGCAGCAAGCGUUGUUCGGAAUUACUGGGCGUAAAGCGUGUGUAGGCGGUUCUCUAAGUUCCGUGUGAAAUCUCCCGGCUUAACUGGGAGGGUGCGCGGAAGACUGGAGGGCUGGAGUAUGGGAGAGGAAAGCGGAAUUCCUGGUGUAGCGGUGAAAUGCGUAGAUAUCAGGAGGAACACCUGCGGUGUAGACAGCUUUCUGGACCAUCACUGACGCUGAGACACGAAAGCGUGGGGAGCGAACAGG